rnacentral:rRNA from 1 species
GACGAACGCUGGCGGCGUGCCUAAUACAUGCAAGUAGAACGCUGAAGGAGGAGCUUGCUUCUCCGGAUGAGUUGCGAACGGGUGAGUAACGCGUAGGUAACCUGCCUGGUAGCCGGGGAUAACUAUUGGAAACGAUAGCUAAUACCGCAUAAGAGUAGAUGUUGCAUGACAUUUGCUUAAAAGGUGCAAUUGCAUCACUACCAGAUGGACCUGCGUUGUAUUAGCUAGUUGGUGGGGUAACGGCUUACCAAGGCGACGAUACAUAGCCGACCUGAGAGGGUGAUCGGCCACACUGGGACUGAGACACGGCCCAGACUCCUACGGGAGGCAGCAGUAGGGAAUCUUCGGCAAUGGACGGAAGUCUGACCGAGCAACGCCGCGUGAGUGAAGAAGGUUUUCGGAUCGUAAAGCUCUGUUGUAAGAGAAGAACGAGUGUGAGAGUGGAAAGUUCACACUGUGACGGUAUCUUACCAGAAAGGGACGGCUAACUACGUG